UUUACCCAUUUACCAUCAUCUUACGUUUGACAUGUUUUUGAACUUACAGACUUAAAGUUAUACUGUAAGAGAGAAAAAGCCAGGAAGAUCCUUGCUGUUUCAUACAAAAGGACUACUCAUCAUCUUAGCAUCACCAACUUUAUAUUGUUUGGUCUUAAAGUGAAGAGGAUUCAAUCAUUACCUGGGCUCAUAGUUGUCUCUUAAAUGAUCCCAAGAGAAUUUUUUGCAAGAGCCAAAUCAUGGAAGUCAUAAAAGAAAUAUUUAUAUAUCAAAGAAAGAUAAAAAAGAAAAAGAAAAAAAAAAAAAAAACCUCUUCCUGACAGCACAGCUGAAGCUUUUCCUGUUUCAAUUCUUGACUGCUUUUUUUCCCCCACUUUGGAAUUUGGUUCUUUUGAACCAUUUAAGUUUCCUCCAUAGUUUUGAAAAACUUCUCCUUCCUACAGUGAACUGUAUUUAAAUUACAUGUUUACCCCCAUGAAGAAAAAAGGGAAUGAUUUGCUUUUCCUAGUUUCAAGGCUUUCUCUCUCUGCCUUUUGUUACUUUAUUCAAUGGGGAGAGGAGGGCACUGGAGAGGGUUUGGCUCAUAGAUGGGUCAAGAUCAUAUUCUAUAAGAUUAUCUCUCAAAAGAAAGGAAAACCCAUUGUGAGUUUUGAUGAUUGCUUAUCAUACAAAAUGAUAGUGGCUGCCUCACACAAUCAACAGCCACUAAGAUCCACCAGUUUUAGUGCAAAUUCUUCAUUUUUUUUCUUUCUAAAUCGAAAACUAAACCAGUUUGACUCAUUGACUGCCAUCAAAUUUGCAGUUGAGAACAAGCUGCAUUGAAAAUGAGACAAUGACAUAUGGUCUUUUGCCUUUUGCCUGUCUUGGGAAGAUGAGAGAUUAACUACCAACAUGGCAGGAAGUUCAUUUAUCGAGCUUUGUUUAGAAGCAUGCCUGUUAUCUGUCAUAUAGAUUUUGUUUGAUACCUUUUGAUUUGAUCUGUUUAUCGUUUCUUGAGACUUAGCCAUCAAUUAUAUCUGACUGUCUCACAGUAAUUCUUAGUUGGAAACAUUCUUCUUCUCUUUUGUUUCUUUGAUUUCUUUCUCCUCAUGAAUUCAGAUGCUGAUAUGUCAGUCUGUGGUUGGGAUGCUAUGUUUACAGCCAUAGACGAUAGAUCUCUUCCUUAUUGUUACAGGAGGAGCAUUUGUGAGAUUUCACAUCAGUUAAAGAGGGAAACGGAAGAUUUUCUAUAAGAGUGUGGAAAUCUCUCCCUAACUGGCGCUUUGUAAAAUCGUGAGGCUGACAGUGAUACACUACAGGCCAAAAGAGGACAAUAUUUACUAGCGGUGGGCUUGACUUGGCCUAUUACAAGAUUACUUCCCUCAAGUAUGAUUUCAAAUGGAGCGAACGAGAGUGUUCAUACAAUUGGCACAAGAAACUUGUAUAACUUUUGGCAACUUGGAGAAAUUUCCAAGUUUGUCAGUUAGAUACAUACUUUCUCCACUUUGUUGUCACAUUUAAAUUCUGGAGUCUACAUGAGAGGGUUCACAUGUGAAAGCUCUCUUUCCAAGUAGCCUGGCAGCUUAGUUACCAACAAAAACAGCAACCUUGCUUCA